rnacentral:rRNA from 1 species
GCGCGCGUAGGUGGCUAAUUAAGUCAAAUGUGAAAUCCCCGAGCUUAACUUGGGAAUUGCAUUCGAUACUGGUUAGCUAGAGUAUGGGAGAGGAUGGUAGAAUUCCAGGUGUAGCGGUGAAAUGCGUAGAGAUCUGGAGGAAUACCGAUGGCGAAGGCAGCCAUCUGGCCUAAUACUGACACUGAGGUGCGAAAGCAUGGGGAGCAAACAGGAUUAGAUACCCUGGUAGUCCAUGCCGUAAACGAUGUCUACUAGCCGUUGGGGCCCUUGAGGCUUUAGUGGCGCAGCUAACGCGAUAAGUAGACCGCCUGGGGAGUACGGUCGCAAGACUAAAACUCAAAUGAAUUGACGGGGGCCCGCACAAGCGGUGGAGCAUGUGGUUUAAUUCGAUGCAACGCGAAGAACCUUACCUGGCCUUGACAUACAGAGAACUUUCCAGA